rnacentral:rRNA from 1 species
UACGUAGGGGGCUAGCGUUGUCCGGAAUCAUUGGGCGUAAAGAGCGUGUAGGCGGCCCGGUAAGUCCGCUGUGAAAGUCGAGGGCUCAACCCUCGAAUGCCGGUGGAUACUGUCGGGCUAGAGUACGGAAGGGGCAAUCGGAAUUCUUGGUGUAGCGGUGAAAUGCGUAGAUAUCAAGAGGAACACCUGAGGUGAAGACGGGUUGCUGGGCUGACACUGACGCUGAGGCGCGAAAGCCAGGGGAGCAAACGGG